rnacentral:rRNA from 1 species
UACGUAGGUGGCAAGCGUUGUCCGGAUUCAUUGGGCGUAAAGAGCGCGCAGGCGGCUUGGUAAGUCGGAUGUGAAAACCCGAGGCUCAACCUCGGGCGUGCAUCCGAAACUGCUCGGCUAGAGGUAGGUAGGGGAGAUCGGAAUUCCUGGUGUAGCGGUGAAAUGCGCAGAUAUCAGGAGGAACACCGGUGGCGAAGGCGGAUCUCUGGGCCUUACCUGACGCUCAGGCGCGAAAGCUAGGGGAGCGAACUGG